rnacentral:rRNA from 1 species
CCCUUAGAUGUUCUGGGCCGCACGCGCGCUACACUGACGAAUGCAACGAGCUUAUAACCUUGGCCGAAAGGUCUGGGUAAUCUCCAAAUUUCGUCGAGAUGGGGAUAGAUUAUUGCAAUUAUUAAUCUUCAACGAGGAAUGCCUAGUAAGCGCAAGUCAUCAGCUUGCGUUGAUUACGUCCCUGCCCUUUGUACACACCGCCCGUCGCUCCUACCGAUUGAAUGGUCCGGUGAAGCGUUCGGACCGUGGCCUUUGGACGGUUCGCCGUCUGUUGGCUGCGGGAAGUUCGUUAAACCUUAUCAUUUAGAGGAAGGAGAAGUCGUAACA